UUAUAGUUAUACGACUGACGGAAGUGGAAUAAACCACAUGAAGUAUAAUAAUCAAGAGCCGACCGUCUGGGCAAAAGAG
rnacentral:ncRNA from 2 species